rnacentral:lncRNA from 1 species
AUGGCCCUAUUAUAGUUAAAAAUUAGACAAUAGACGAUAUAAUUUUUAGCUAUUGAUUUAGACUAUCACAAAAGUUGAAAUGUUGCUAGGUAAUAAAUGACAAAUAGAGGAAUUCAUGUGUCUAUUUCGUAUCCACCCUAUCUAUUUCUUUACUUGGAAAAAAAAGUUGUUUAACUUUUGUAUCAACGAAAAGGAGUACCCAAAAAAAAAUUAAAAAUAAAAUAGUUCAUCUUUGUCUUAAAACCUAAAGAAAAUGUGAUCUACUUUGUUGCAAGAUACCAAAGCUUU